rnacentral:piRNA from 1 species
GGUGCUGAUGACACCCACUGGCUGAAC